rnacentral:misc_RNA from 1 species
GCUUGGUCAGAGUCUCUUGAUUGACGGAGAAGCGAGUGGGUUGCAUUUCGUAAAAGUUAAAGUUUAAGAAAUCAAGGAGGUGCCGAUACAAAGGCUAAACCUCCGAAAACCAUCGCAUCGCAUCGCAUCUUCGCCUCCACCUGGCCGGCUCAUCUCCAUCUGAUGGCCUCGGCCUCCAGCAGCAGCGCCCGCUCUCUGUUCGCCGAAUCGCGCACCAAGCUAGUCGAACGGGUGGCGGGGAACGUGGAGGCCUGUGGGUCCGUGUGUCGACAGGUGGUGCGAGGCUCCAGGUCUCACGAGACACUGCUGGCGGCAGCGCGCGCCACUGCUGCUCAGGAGUCAGCCAUCGACCACACGUGCGGAACAGUUCAGAAGUUACGCAUUCUCGCCACUCACUUGGGCUACCAGUGGGAGUCGAUCGCUCGCUCCGCUCACCAGAUUCCGCCGCUGGCUGAGCAGGCGAGGGCACUCCCGCCGCCCAACUGAGGAGUGAGGGCACUCCCACCACCCAACUGAGCAGGCGAGGGCACUCCCGCCACCCAACUGAGCAGGCGAGGGCACUCCCACCGCCAAACUGAGCAAGACGAGCCUUUACGACCGGACAGACACGGUUAGAGCCGCUCUUCACACCACAAUGCAGCUAACUGUCGAGUUCAGCGGCGGUGCUGAACUCCUCUUCGGGAACGUCAAACAGCACAGAGUAACUCUUCCAGACCGGGGCGACGGAGACUCGGUGUGGACGAUGGAGGGCCUGCUGCCCUGGCUGAGGGAUAACUUGCUGAAGGAGCGGCCAGAGCUCUUCAUGCAGGGGGACACGGUUCGUCCCGGGAUCCUGGUUCUGGUGAAUGACGCAGACUGGGAGCUUCUCGGUCAGCUGAGCUACAAACUGCAGCCGGAUGACACGGUCGUGUUCAUAUCAACACUCCACGGCGGGUAGUCGCUUCGCCCGGGAUGACAGAAGGUAAAGCUGGCUGCACUUGACUCUUCAGGGCGGUUAGGGUUGUCAUCCGUGCUGACAGGUAAAUCUGGCCGUAUAGCGGCUAGUCUAGCCGUUUGGACUGGUGAGAGCUAGGCUGGUCCCAUCAGACACUUCCCUAGUGCGGUUAGCCUAGUCGCCUGGGCUGGCAGAAUGCCAGAUUGACCGUGCUUGAUCUUACUCGUCGCCUAGACGACUCCGCUGACAGGUCAAGACUUAUACAGCAUCCAACUUCACACAAGGUAACUGGCUUAUCCAGCCUGGAAAGUCUCCAUGCUGGUCGCAUUAAACAUCUAUGGAGAUCUCAAUCCUGUCGGUGUUUUCUUGACUGGACAAACGCAUUUGGGGAAAACUGGUCGCGGGAAACUUCGGUCGCGCCAUAGACAUUGGUCAGCCUGGUGCUAUGGCAUGAUGCGUGAGUCGUGACUUGCUCCAUUGUCCCGUGAUAUGUACGGGACGAAUGUGUUUUUGGGGUCACAACGCGUCAUGUGAUUCGUGAGUGCCGAUGCUGUGCCGCUUGUUUUACUGUUGUGGUUUUAUGUAUGGUGUAUGCCUAAUGUUUUGUUUCUAGAAACUUGUAAAAUGAUCGAGUAACGCGUCAAAUAAAUCAUUCUCUAGAUGAUA